GAGCUGUGAGGAGAUAUUGCACAUCUUGUGGUUGACGUUCAAUCACGCUCGUCUGACCUAACAGAUGAUAUCUCGUGCAUCUGAGCUC